rnacentral:rRNA from 1 species
UACGGGGGGAGCUAGCGUUGUUCGGAAUUACUGGGCGUAAAGCGAGUGUAGGCGGUCUGAUAAGUCGGGUGUGAAAGCCCUGGGCUCAACCCAGGAAGUGCACUCGAAACUGCCAGGCUAGAGUAUCGGAGAGGUUGGUGGAAUUCUCGGUGUAGAGGUGAAAUUCGUAGAUAUCGAGAGGAACACCGGUGGCGAAGGCGGCCAACUGGACGAUUACUGACGCUGAGACUCGAAAGCGUGGGGAGCAAACAGG